rnacentral:rRNA from 1 species
GAUGAACGCUGGCGGCGUGCCUAAUACAUGCAAGUCGAGCGAACGGACGAGAAGCUUGCUUCUCUGAUGUUAGCGGCGGACGGGUGAGUAACACGUGGAUAACCGACCUAUAAGACUGGGAUAACUUCGGGAAACCGGAUCUAAUACCGGAUAAUAUUUUGAACCGCAUGGUUCAAAAGUGAAAGACGGUCUUGCUGUCCCUUAUAGAUGGAUCCGCGCUGCAUUAGCUAGUUGGUAAGGUAACGGCUUACCAAGGCAACGAUGCAUAGCCGACCUGAGAGGGUGAUCGGCCACACUGGAACUGAGACACGGUCCAGACUCCUACGGGAGGCAGCAGUAGGGAAUCUUCCGCAAUGGGCGAAAGCCUGACGGAGCAACGCCGCGUGAGUGAUGAAGGUCUUCGGAUCGUAAAACUCUGUUAUUAGGGAAGAACAUAUGUGUAAGUAACUGUGCACAUCUUGACGGUACCUAAUCAGAAAGCCCCGGCUAACUACGUG